rnacentral:rRNA from 1 species
GACGAACGCUGGCGGCGUGCUUAACACAUGCAAGUCGAGCGGUAAGGCCCUUCGGGGUACGACGAGCGGCGAACGGGUGAGUAACACGUGGGUGACCUGCCUCUAGCUCUGGGAUAAGCCUGGGAAACUGGGUCUAAUACCGGAUAUGACUCCACGGCGCAUGUUGUGGGGUGGAAAGCCUUGUGUGGCUAGAGAUGGGCCCGCGGCCUAUCAGCUUGUUGGUGGGGUGAGGCCUACCAAGGCGACGACGGGUAGCCGGCCUGAGAGGGCGACCGGCCACACUGGGACUGAGACACGGCCCAGACUCCUACGGGAGGCAGCAGUGGGGAAUCUUGCGCAAUGGGCGAAAGCCUGACGCAGCGAC